UGGACCAAUGAUGACAUCUGGUGGCGUAGGAGUCAUAUACGAUGAAUACCACGUGUCUGGAAGUCUGAGGUCCAA
ensembl:snoRNA